UACGGAGGGGGCAAGCGUUGUUCGGAGUUACUGGGCGUAAAGGGCGCGUAGGCGGCGCAUCAAGUCAGGCGUGAAAGCCCCGGGCUUAACCUGGGAAUUGCGCUUGAUACUGAUGUGCUAGAGAGCGGGAGAGGAUGGCGGAAUUCCCAGUGUAGAGGUGAAAUUCGUAGAGAUUGGGAAGAACACCGGUGGCGAAGGCGGCCAUCUGGACCGUUUCUGACGCUGAGGCGCGAAAGCGUGGGGAGCAAACAGG
rnacentral:rRNA from 1 species